rnacentral:rRNA from 1 species
UACAGAGGGGGCAAGCGUUGUUCGGAAUUACUGGGCGUAAAGGGCGCGUAGGCGGCCUGUUAAGUCGGACGUGAAAUCCCCGGGCUCAACCCGGGAACUGCGUCCGAUACUGGCAGGCUUGAAGCCGGGAGAGGGAUGUGGAAUUCCAGGUGUAGCGGUGAAAUGCGUAGAUAUCUGGAGGAACACCGGUGGCGAAGGCGGCAUCCUGGACCGGCAUUGACGCUGAGGCGCGAAAGCCAGGGGAGCAAACGGG